rnacentral:SRP_RNA from 1 species
CCGUGCUAGACGGGGAGGUAGCGGUGCCCUGUAACUCGCAAUCCGCUGCAGCGAGGUUGAAUUCCUGUCCGAGGUUAUGCGUUGUAAGGUUUGGCGUUCGUGAAAAGUGUUGACGGUCGGGUCCUCCGCAAUGGACGCCUGUGAACCUGGUCAGGUCCGGAAGGAAGCAGCCAUAAGCAGGUUAGUUCAUGUGCCGGGGGAGCGCCUGACUCGAGCUGGGAUCGAAAGUGUCGCUUGGACCGCAUGUAUCGGAGGCAGGUGCACGG